GACAGAGGAUGGCAAGCGUUAUCCGGAAUGAUUGGGCGUAAAGCGUCUGUAGGUGGCUUUUUUAAGUCCGCCGUCAAAUCCCAAGGGCUCAACCCUGGACAGGCGGUGGAACUACCAAGCUGGAGUACGGUAGGGCAGAGGGGAAUUUCCGGUGGAGCGGUGAAAUGCGUAGAGAUCGGAAAGAACACCAACGGCGAAAGCACUCUGCUGGGCCGACACUGACACUGAGAGACGAAAGCUAGGGGAGCGAAUGGG
rnacentral:rRNA from 1 species